GACGAACGCUGGCGGCGUGCCUAAUACAUGCAAGUCGAGCGAAGCGGCGGAUGGGUGAGAAACGCGUGGGUAACCUGCCCUUAAGUUGGGAAUACCAUCUGGAAACACAUGCUAAUACCGGAUCAUAAAGUAGGGGCCUGCGAUGCAUUAGCUAGUUGGUAAGGUAACGGCUUACAAAGGCGAUGAUGCAUAGCGGGGUUGAGAGACUGAUCGGCCACACUGGAACUGAGACACGGUCCAAACUCCUACGGGAGGCAGCAGUAGGGAAUCUUCCACAAUGGACGAAAGCCUGAUGGAGCAACGCCGCGUGAGUGAAGAAGGUUUUCGGAUCGUAAAGCUCUGUUGUUGGUGAAGCGGUAAUCAACCAGAAAGCCACGGCUAACUACGUGCCAGCAGCCGCGGUAAUAC
rnacentral:rRNA from 1 species